UAGGGAAUCUUCCGCAAUGGACGAAAGUCUGACGGAGCAACGCCGCGUGAGUGAAGAAGGAUUUCGGUUCGUAAAACUCUGUUGUUAGGGAAGAAAAAAUGUAUAGUAACUAUAUACAAAAGAGACGGUACCUAACCAGAAAGCCACGGCUAACUACGUGCCAGCAGCCGCGGUAAUACGUAGGUGGCAAGCGUUGUCCGGAAUUAUUGGGCGUAAAGCGCGCGCAGGUGGUUUAGAAAGUCUGAUGUGAAAGCCCACGGCUCAACCGUGGAGGGUCAUUGGAAACUAAUAAACUGGAGUGCAGGAGAGAAAAGUGGAAUUCCUCGUGUAGCGGUGAAAUGCGUAGAGAUUAGGAGGAACACCGGUGGCGAAAGCGGCUUUUUGGCCUGCAACUGACACUGCGGCGCGAAAGCGUGGGGAGCAAACAGG
rnacentral:rRNA from 1 species